GGCAAGCUGAGGUAUGUGAACGGACGAUAUCUGAAAGAAGCCGUUGACAGGGCGAUGAACGUCUCCGGUCGCCGGAAGCGGCGUGAGCCAACGAAGACUCCUCAUUUCUUCAAGAUCAUACUCUCCGACACUCUCCAAAGUGGAAAGCUCAUGAUCCCAAAGAGGUUCGUAGCAAAAUAAGGGAACUGCCUGCCGAACCGGUUGCUUCUGAAAGUUGCAGGGGAUGCAAAUUGGCCAGUGGAGCUAGAGAAGUGUGAUGACAGGGUAUGGAUUUCCAAAGGACGGAGGAAUUUCUUGGAUUAUUACUCCAUCAAUCAUGGACAUUUGAUAGUCUUUAGAUACGAAGGCGGCUCAAUCUUACAUGUCCUAAUGUUCGAUAAAAGUGCGUCUGAGAUAGAAUAUCCCCGGAAACCCGUGGCUCCUGAAGAACGAUGAUGGUUGAAGUCGAUGAUGUCUCGACAGAGUUGGGGGAGUACACCAUUUCCCCUAGAGAAAGGAGGAGGGAAUUGAAGUCGCCAUCGUGCCGGGCGUCACCAGAUAAGCUGGUGAUGAAAUCCGAUCUGGUCAGCGAAGAUCAAAAUAAGUCCUAUGCCCAUUUGCCGACGCCACAUAAUGAAGCUAAAGGCUCUCAUUCAGGAGAUUGAAGGACUUCGAAGCUGAAGAAGAACGUGCGUGCGUAUGGCAGGAUCAAAGAGUCUAAAAAAAGAGCAACCCCUUUUGAGCAGAUUAAUCUAAGAUCUAGAUGUCCAAGCCCUCCUGAUGCUGUGAAGAAGGCCAGGAAAUUCAAAUCGGAACAUCCUUCUUUCCUCAUCGUCGUGCGGAGCUGCUACCUCAAGCACACUAACGUGAGAAGCGAGGGAAAAACAGUACUCCUUUAUCAUGUCCCUAAGAUUAGUUUCACUAUGUUGAAAGUGGUUUUCACAAGCAUGUACUUGAUCAGCAUGUGCCUGCUGGAUUUGUGAAGAGCCAGAUAAGGAAAAUCCCAGUAGUCCAAGAUGUGAGACUCGAGUUUCGGGGCAGGUCAUGGACCGGGAAGUUCUUCAACAAGCCAAAUUACUUUGGUGGAAAGUUCUCGGCUGGUUGGACCAUG